rnacentral:tmRNA from 1 species
GUAGUCAUAUGGGCCGCCGGGCCGGUUGAUCUGUUACCACGCCCCGCCGCCGACUCAACAAACAAUACAGGUUGCGGUAAUCAGUCUCUUCUUGAAAGAGUAGUCACGCUGUUUACUUAAGUCAAAUGUGACUACGAGUCAAAUUGGUUCGUCCGGUUCCUGUUUGACUCCGACAAUUAAUUCCGGAAUAAACAUGUAGAAGACUUUCGGCGAAUAUGUUUGGACACCGGUUCGAAUCCGGUCGCCUCCACUA